rnacentral:sRNA from 1 species
GCAGCUGGAAGGGACCGUCGUGAUCGG